UACAGAGGGUGCGAGCGUUGUUCGGAAUUACUGGGCGUAAAGCGCGCGCAGGCGGCCUUUUAAGUCUGACGGUGAAAUGCCGGGGCUCAACCCCGAGCGUGCCGCGGAUACUGGGAGGCUGGAGACGAGUAGAGGCAAGCGGAAUUCCAGGUGUAGCGGUGAAAUGCGUAGAUAUCUGGAGGAAUACCGGUGGCGAAGGCGGCAUCCUGGACCGACAUUGACGCUGAACGGCGAAAGCUAGGGGAGCAAACGGGA
rnacentral:rRNA from 1 species